rnacentral:rRNA from 1 species
AGGAAUACAUCGGAAUCUACUCUGUCGUGGGGGAGUAACGUAGGGAAACUUACGCUAAUACCGCAUACGACCUACGGGUGAAAGCAGGGGAUCUUCGGAUCUUGCGCGAUUGAAUGAGCCGAUGUCGGAUUAGCUAGUUGGCGGGGUAAAGGCCCACCAAGGCGACGAUCCGUAGCUGGUCUGAGAGGAUGAUCAGCCACACUGGAACUGAGACACGGUCCAGACUCCUACGGGAGGCAGCAGUU